rnacentral:tRNA from 1 species
GGAUUGUGGCUCAGUGGUAGAGCACUUGCCUAUCAUGUGUAAGGCCCUGGGCUCAAUCCUCAGCACCA